rnacentral:lncRNA from 1 species
ACUAUAUACUGUACUGGCAGACUACAGACUAUACUGGCAGACUGCAGGCUACAUACUAUACUGGCAGACUACAAGCUUCAUACUAUACUGGCAGACUACAGACUAUACUGGCAGACUAUAUACUAUACUGGCAGACUACAGACUAUACUGGCAGACUAUAUACUAUACUGGCAGACUACAGGCUACAUACUAUACUGGCAGACUAUAUACUAUACUGGCAGACUACAGGCUACAUACUAUAUUGGCAGACUAUAUACUAUACUGGCAGACUACAGGCUACAUACUAUAUUGGCAGACUAUAUACUAUACUGGCAGACUACAGGUGACAUACUAUAUUGGCAGACUAUAUACUAUACUGGCAGACUACAGGCUACAUACUACACUGGCAGACUAUAUACUAUACUGGCAGACUACAGGCUACAUACUAUAUUGGCAGACUAUAUACUAUACUGGCAGACUGCAGGCUACAUACUAUAUUGGCAGACUAUAUACUAUACUGGCAGACUACAGGCUACAUACUCUGCUGGCAGACUACAGGCUACAUACUAUAUUGGCAGACUAUAUACUAUACUGGCAGACUACAAGCUACAUACUAUACUGGCAGACUACAGGUGACAUACAAUAUUGGCAGACUACAUACUAUACUGGCAGACUACAGGCUACAUACUAUACCUGCAGACUACAUACUAUACUGGCAGAAUACAGUUUACAUACUAUACCGGCAGACUACAGACUACAUACUAUACUGGCAGACUUUAAGCUACAUACUAUACUGGCAGACUACAAGCUACAUAUUAUACUGGCAGACUGCAUACUGUACUGGCAGACUACAUACUAUACUGUAAGACUACAAACUAUUCUGGCAGACUACAGGCUACAUACUUUACUGGCAGGCUACAGACUACAGACGAUACAGGAAACAACAGACCGCAGGCUACAUGCUAAAGACUACAGGCUACAUACUAUUUCCUGGUUAAAUAAAGGUGAAAUAAAAUAAAUAAAGACUACAUGCUCCAUACUAUACAGGAAGAUUACUG